CAUGGAUAACCAUGGUAAUUCUAUGGCUAAUACAUGCGCACUCGCCUCCUUCUCUGGAGGGGCUGUGUUUAUUAGAUACAAAACCAACCCACUUUGUGUGGAGUCUAGGUGAUUCAUAGUAACCGAACGGAUCGCAACUUGGCUUCGGCCCGCGAUGGAUCUUUCAAGUUUCUGACCUAUCAGCUUUCGACGGUAGGGUAUUGGCCUACCGUGGCAGUGACGGGUAACGGGGAAUUAGGGUUCGAUUCCGGAGAGGGAGCCUGAGAAACGGCUACCACAUCUAAGGAAGGCAGCAGGCGCGCAAAUUACCCAAUGAAAACAGUUUCGAGGUAGUGACGAGAAAUAACAAUACAGGGCAUUUUAUGCUCUGUAAUUGGAAUGAUGGGAAUGUAAAACCCUUCCAGAGUAACAAUUGGAGGGCAAGUCUGGUGCCAGCAGCCGCGGUAAUUCCAGCUCCAAUAGUGUAUAUUAGAGUUGUUGCAGUUAAAAAGCUCGUAGUUGGAUUUCUGCCGUGGUCUGCCGGCUCCGCCCAGUAUUGGGUGCGAGCGUGGUUUGGCCUCGGCAUUUUCCCGGUAGCCUUCGGCGCUUAAUUGCGUGUGAUUGGUGUUCCGGGACUUUUACUUUGAGAAAAAUAGAGUGUUUCAAGCAGGCUUGUCGCCCUGAAUACUUCAGCAUGGAAUAAUAAGAUAGGACCUUGGUUCUAUUUUGUUGGUUUCUAGGACCUAGGUAAUGGUUAAUAGGGACAGUUGGGGGCAUUCGUAUUUAACUGUCAGAGGUGAAAUUCUUAGAUUUGUUAAAGACGAACUACUGCGAAAGCAUUUGCCAAGGAUGUUUUCAUUAAUCAAGAACGACAGUAGGGGGUUUGAAGACGAUUA
rnacentral:rRNA from 1 species